rnacentral:rRNA from 1 species
AGCAGCCGCGGUAAUUCCAGCUCCAAUAGCGUAUAUUAAAGUUGUUGCAGUUAAAAAGCUCGUAGUUGAAUUUCGGGAUCAAUAUGUCGGUCGUGCCUUCGGUACGUACUGGUAUCAUUGGUCUCUCCUUUCUGACGAACCAUGAUGUCAUUAAUUUGGUGUUAUGGGGAGUUAGGACUGUUACUUUGAAAAAAUUAGAGUGUUUAAAGCAGGCUUUAGCUUGAAUACAUUAGCAUGGAAUAAUGAAAUAGGACGUUCGAACCUAUUUUGUUGGUUUCUAGGAUCAACGUAAUGAUUAAUAGGGAUAGUUGGGGGCAUUAGUAUUCAAUUGUCAGAGAUGAAAUUCUUGGAUUUAUUGAAGACUAACUACUGCGAAAGCAUUUGCCAAGGAUGUUUUCAUUAAUCAAGAACGAAAGUUAGGGGAUCGAAGACGAUCAGAUACCGUCGUAGUCUUAACCAUAAACUAUGCCGACUAGGGAUCGGAUGAUGUUAAUUUUUUAAUGACUCAUUCGGCGCCUUA